rnacentral:rRNA from 1 species
GACGAACGCUGGCGGCGUGCCUAAUACAUGCAAGUCGAACGCUUCUUUCCUCCCGAGUGCUUGCACUCAAUUGGAAAGAGGAGUGGCGGACGGGUGAGUAACACGUGGGUAACCUACCCAUCAGAGGGGGAUAACACUUGGAAACAGGUGCUAAUACCGCAUACCAGUUUAUGCCGCAUGGCAUAAGAGUGAAAGGCGCUUUCGGGUGUCGUUGAUGGAUGGACCCGCGGUGCAUUAGCUAGUUGGUGAGGUAACGGCUCACCAAGGCCACGAUGCAUAGCCGACCUGAGAGGGUGAUCGGCCACACUGGGACUGAGACACGGCCCAGACUCCUACGGGAGGCAGCAGUAGGGAAUCUUCGGCAAUGGACGAAAGUCUGACCGAGCAACGCCGCGUGAGUGAAGAAGGUUUUCGGAUCGUAAAACUCUGUUGUUAGAGAAGAACAAGGACGUUAGUAACUGAACGUCCCCUGACGGUAUCUAACCAGAAAGCCACGGCUAACUACGUG